rnacentral:rRNA from 1 species
GUGGCGGACGGGUGAGUAACACGUGAGAAUUCGCCUUUAGGAGGGGGAUAACGAGUGGAAACAUUCGCUAAAACCCCAUAUGCCCCAGGGUGAAAAAGAGGAAAUUAGUAAUACUGAAUAACCUCUGCCUGAAGAGAAGCUUGCGGCUGAUUAGCUAGUUGGUAGGGUAAUGGCUUACCAAGGCGACGAUCAGUAGCUGGUCUGAGAGGACGAUCAGCCACACUGGAACUGAGACACGGUCCAGACUCCUACGGGAGGCAGCAGUGAGGAAUUUUCUGCAAUGGGCGAAAGCCUGACAGAGCAACGCCGCGUGAGUGAAGAAGGUCUUCGGAUUGUAAAGCUCUGUCGUUUGGGACGAACGUGGGAUGUGUGAAUAAUGCAUUCUAAUGACGGUACCAAAGGAGGAAGCCACGGCUAACUACGUGCCAGCAGCCGCGGUAAGACGGAGGAUGCAAGUGUUAUCCGGAAUCACUGGGCGUAAAGCGUCUGUAGGUGGUCAAAUAAGUCAACUGUUAAAUCUUGAGGCUCAACCUCAAAAUCGCAGUCGAAACUAUUCGACUAGAGUAUAGUAGGGGUAAAGGGAAUUUCCAGUGGAGCGGUGAAAUGCGUAGAGAUUGGAAAGAACACCGAUGGCGAAGGCACUUUACUGGGCUAUUACUAACACUGAGAGACGAAAGCUAGGGUAGCAAAUGGGAUUAGAUACCCCAGUAGUCCUAGCCGUAAACAA